rnacentral:lncRNA from 10 species
UGAUGACUCAAGAAAUGUCCUUCCUCCUAAGAAAUUAUCCUCCCAUCUGAGAUUAGCAGCAUCUAAUCUCAGUUUUCUCCACUGCUGACCAGCAUCAGCAACACAGUUCUAGUCCUGUUUUGGGUAUCAAAUCCAAAUCCUGUAAGCAAAAGGUCAAGGAUUCAGAAGUGAAAGGAAAGACUGUGGCUCUAACUUUGCCAAAGUGAAAAGUACAGACCUCUGCCAUCAGUGAAGAAAGAACCCAGAUCUGAUAAGAGCUUCAAACAGGCUCAGCACCUCCUGGCACACAUAGAGCGGCAUCACGUUGCCCCAAGAAAAUCACAUCUCUACACAUCAGACCCUUUCCAGUCCAUUUUGCCCCAUCCACAAAAUGAAAAUGCCACUUUAUUUACUAAAUCUAAAAAUUCUGUUGGGAGGCAAAGGAGAGUUGAAGAAUUUGCAAUGAAUUUAACCUGCCAGGAGAGGGAGUUUAACACCAAGCUUCCAGAAACAGGCUGCGUGGUAGCUACAACGUCCAGAAACCCAGGUUUCAACGCGGCCCUGCUUCAAGACCCAAAGGAAAUUCAGCACCAGGCGGGUGAAGUGACUUACCUGUGCACAGCUGCACUCGCAGACUUCGGAGCCCCCACCUAAUUCUAAAAUGCUGUAUGUCCAUGAACUUAAUAACAGAAGGUCAGGGGAGAGACGUUCUGAGAGCAACGGAAAUCUAUCUUAAGAUAAAGAUGUUUCUGAGGCUGAUUUUUCAAGUCAAACUUGAGAGAGAAAUUCAAAGGCUAUGUUCUCAUAUCAUAUUCCUGGGUUUGGGAGGUUCAUUCACAGCUUAAUCCUGUCCCCUGAAGUCACGGUUACGUAAGUAUGCUGUGUCACUUGCUGUCCCCACCCCCAACACAGGAGAUGCAGUGUAACCUGAGCUCCUCGGCUUGAGCCACUGAAAACACUUACACAACGCUGGGACCUUUCCAAAUUGACUUGUUUCCCCUUAAGAAAGGGCAAGCUAUUUGAUUUUCUUCCUUCCACUUCAUUCACAUUCAUAUUUCUGUAUAUACAGAAGAGACUGAAAAAGAUAAAUAAGAUUGAAGGGCAUUUGCAAAUUUUCUUCAAUUCUUGAGUAAAACAAAAAAGUCAACUAUCCAAUGUCACGGAAAAGUAACCAAAAAAAAAAAAAUUAUGGGCCUGCUUAGCCCCAAUUUAAAAACAUCACAUCUCCUGGCUGAACUGAGCUUAAGGUCCUUGGACGGGCUUCAUUUCCCACGUACUGGCUGUUUCUAGAGCCAGGCCCCAUACGCUACUGCCACGCGCAGCAUACUGCCACACAGAAGGGCUUUGGGGGCACAUGGGAAAUGGCUCUCCAAGAACACAGGAGACACAUCAGCAGUCUCUUCUGACUACUCUUCUUGCCCUCUCUUCCUUCUCUGGACUACUCCAGCUACUGGGCAGCUUCGAUUACGGAAUGAUGACUCACACGCAUUCCUGUCUUGUUUGCAUAUCAUGCUAUGACUAAGCUCCAUGAGAUUUGAUUUGUCUUCGCAUCCAACGAAUCUAAAAAAGUUUGAUACACAGUAAGAGUUCAAAAAAGUUCUCAAGUGAGUCAACAGCAAAACAAGAAUCCAUAAAAUUAUGCAAAAUGAUGCGAUUUUCAAACUAAAGCAUCAAGUAACUGUAUCUUACACUCUAAACACUUGAUAAACACAGAAGCAUUACAGGGUUUCCCAACUCCGGAUCCUUUUUUUUUUUUUUUUGAGACAGUGUUUCACUCUUGUCGCCCAGGCUGGAGUGCAGUGGCGCGAUCUCGGCUCACUGCAACCUCCGCCUCUCGGGUUUAAGCAAUUCUCAUGCCUUAGCCUCCCAAGUAGCUGGGAUUACAGGCACGUGCCACCAUGCCUGGCUAAUUUUGUAUUUUUAGUAGAGACAAGGUUUUGCCAUGUUGGUCAGGCUGGUCUCGAACUCCCGACCUCAGGUGAUCCGCCCGUCUUGGCCUCCCAAAGUGCUGGGAUUACAGACAUGAGCCACCACGACUGGCCUGGAUCCUUUUCUAAAAAGUGGGCCAAUGAAGGGUGGGUAUGGUGGUUCACACCUGUAAUCCCAACACUUUGGGAGGCUGAGGUGGCAGGAUGCUUUGAGCCCAGGAGUUCAAUACCAGCCUGGGAAACUUGGUGAGACCUCAUCUCUAAUUAUUAAUGAACAAAUUAAUAAAAAGUAGGUCAAUGGGCCGGGCACGGUAAUCCUAGCACUUUGGGAGGCCAAGGCGGGCAGAUCACUUGAGGUCAGGAAUUCAAGACCAGCCUGACCAAAACGGCGAAGCCCCAUCUCUACUAAAAAUACAAAAUCAGCCAGGCGGCGUGGUGGCACAUGCCUGUAAUCCCAGCUACUCAGGAGGCUGAGGCAGGAGAACUGCUUAAACCUGGGAGGCAGAGGUUGCGGUGAGCAGAGAUGGCGCCAUUGUACUCCAAGAAAGUAGGUCAAUGAAGCUAUGGGCAAACUGUUCAAUUACUACCUACAAUGAGUGCUAUUUAACAGGUAUGAUCUCGGCUGGGCAUGCUGGCUCAUGCCUGUAAUCCCAGCACUUUGGGAGGCCAAGGCGGGAGGAUGACCUGAGGUCAGGAGUUCAAGACCAGCCUGACAGACAUGGUGAAGCCAGUCUCCACUAACAAUACAAAAUUAUCCAGGUGUGGUAGCACAUGCCUGUAAUCCCAGCUACUCGGGAGGCUGAGGCAGGAGAAUCACUUGAACCUGGGAGGUGGGGGUUGCAGUGAGCCGAGAUUUUGCCAUUGCACUCCAGCCUGGGCAACAAGAGCAAAACUCCCGCUCAAAAAAAAAAAAAGUGUGAGUCUCAAAUUAGAUAAUUACAUUUGUUGACAGUAUUAUACUUUCUAGACCAGCACUGUCCAGUAGAAAUACAAUGCAGUACAAAUGUAUAAUUCUGAAUUUUCUAGUAUCCAUAUUUUUAAAAAUGAAAAAGAAUCAUGUGAAAUUAAUUUUCAUGAUAUAGUUUAUUUAGCCCAGUAGAUUUAAAAUAUUAUUUCAAAAUGUAAUCAAGGGCUGGGCACGGUGGCUCAUGCCUGCCCAAGUGGAAGGAUCACUUGAGUUCAGGAUUUCAAGACAAGCCUGAGCAACAUAGUGAGACUCCAUCUCUACAAAAUUUUUAAAAAUUAGCUGGGUGUAGUGGCACACACCUGCAUCCCAGCUACUCCAGAGGCAGAGAUGGGACGACUGCUUGAGCCCAAGAGUUUAGUUAGAAGCUGCAGAGAGCUCUGGUCAUGGCACUGCACUCCAGCCUGGGCAACAGAGCAAGACCUCAUCUCCUGCCUGGGCGUGCUGGUUCAUGCCUGUAAUCCCAGCACUUUGGGAGACCGAAGCACAUGGAUCACUUGAGGUCAAGAGUUUGACAGCAGCCUGGCCAACAUGGUGAAACCCCAUCUCUACUAAAAAUAUAAAAAUUAGUCGGAUGUGGUGGUGGGCACCUAUAAUCCCACCUACUCCGGAGGCUGAGGCAGGAGAAUUGCUUGAACCCAGGAGGCGGAGGUUGCAGUGAGCUGAGAUAGCGCCACUGUACUCCAGCCUGGGUGGCAGCACUACAUUCCAGCCUGGGUGACAGACCAAGACUCUGUCUCAAAAAACAAAUAUCACCUCGUCUCUAACAACAACAAAUGUGAUUAACGUAAAAUUAUUAACAUUUUACAUUCUUUUUUCAUAAUAGAUCUUUGAAAUCCAGAGUGUAUUUUAUACUUACAGCACACCUCAAUUUGGACUCACCACAUUUCACGUGCUCAAUACGUGAUUAUGUGGCUCGUGGCUACUACAUAGGACACCACCAGGCUAGAAUACAUACUGGAAGCAGAAAACAAGCAGCUCUCCUCUUGGCAUCGAUAGUAAAACUAACAAGCAGAUAAUACCCCAGGCCCCCCUGGAUAUGCAACAUCCAUCUUCUGUGCUCCAUUACAACAUGUAUGUGAGGAAAAGGGCAGAGAAAUGUAAAACUCCUGAAUCUCGAGCCAGGAAUAAUUUAAUUGUUCUUAGCAUAGAAAAGGAAAAAAUAGCACUUACAGUAAGAGGAACUUUAAAAUAUCUAUUUGACAGGUGAUACAUAAUGUAUAAGGAAGCUCUGCUGGCAGCACAAGGCACUGCCCAGUAAAACCGAGAGCUCAGCACAAAGAGUUUGAAAACACACCCACAUGAAACUCAAAGCAAAAUACAGUACAGAGACUGAGCUACCGAUGAAAAAUUUAAUAAGUAUGUCUCAAAGCACAUGAAAGGAACCUGUGGCUGGAGAUUUAAGGCCAAUACAGUAGGAGACAUCAUUUCUUGUUUUGUUUUUUUUUUUUUUUUUUUUGGUCUGUUUGUUUUUUUGGCACAGAGUCUUACUCUGGUACCCAGGCUGGAGUGCAGUGGCAUGAUCUCGACUCACUGCAACCUCUGCCUCCUGGGUUCAAGCGAUUCUCCUGCCUCAGCCUCCUGAGUAGCUGGUAUUACAGGCACCCGUCACCACACCCAGCUAAUUUUUUUUUAUUUUUAGUAGAGACAGGGUUUCACCAUGUUGGCCAAGCUGGUCUUGAACUCCUGACCUCAGGUGAACCACCCACCUUGGCCUCCCAAAGUGUUGGGAUUACCACAUGAGCCACCGUGCCCAGCCGCAUAUAGCUGUUUCAUUGGCCCAUAUUCUAACACCUGGGAAACUUGUUAGUCUUCCGAAUAAGAUACAGAACACUCCUUGUGCACAUUUACACAGAGUGGUCCGAUGACAUGAUGACACUGUGUGACUGCUCAGAAUGUGUGCCCUAACAACAGUUCCGUGACUCAAAAUCAAACCACAGGGCAUGAAGGCAGGGAGCAUGCACUCCAAGGUAGAAUACCCGGUAAGCGCAUGAGUGAGCGGUCUACGCGAGCUGAGGACAAGUGACAGACACCUAAGAGCAUCGUUGACUCUGGCUUCCCAAAGCUUGGCCCUGAACACAGGGAAAAUGUGUGUGACGCCACCAAACACAGUUUGGGGCGCAGGCCACAGAAGGGCCAAUGUAUCAAAUCAGUGCACUAACAAGCGAGAUUCACUGGACAGAAUAUAAAGCAGGGGCCUGGAGACACUGGUUUCAGUAUCAACUAGUAGGCUGAUUUAAAAGGUAACAGAAUAGGCCGGGUGCAGUGGCUGACGCCUGUAAUCCCAGUACUUUGGGAGGCCAAGGUGGGUAAAUCACUUGAGGCUAGGAGUUCGAGACCUUCGGGCUGGCCAACAUGGUGAAACCUGUCUCUACUAAAAAUAUAAAAAUUAGCUAGAAGUGGUGGCACAUUCCUGUAAUCCCAGUUAUUCAGGAGUCUGAGGCAGGAGAAUCGCUUGAACCCGGGGAGGUGGAGGUUGCAGUGAGCCAAGAUUGCGCCACAGCACUCCAGCCUGGGCAACAGAGCAAGACUCCAUCUGAAAACAAAAAACAAAGGCCAGGUACAGUGGCUCACGCCUGUAAUCCCAGCACUUUGGGAGGCCGAGGCAGGUGGAUCACGAGGUCGGAUCCAUCAAGACCAUCCUGGCUAACACAGUGAAACCCUGUCUCUAAUAAAAAUACAAAAAAAAAAAAUUAGCCUGGCAUGGUGGCGGGCGCCUGUAGUCCCAACAACUCAGGAGGCUGAGGCAGAAUGGUGUGAACCCGGGAGGCGGAGGUUGCAGUGAGCCAAGAUCGCGCCACUGCACUCCAGCCCGG